rnacentral:snoRNA from 1 species
GUUAGCCAGUGAUGAUGUUAAUACUUACAUCCAUUGCCUACAUCGUUUGAUUUUCAAGAUGAUAACACAUGCAUAACAUCUGAGGCUGCC